rnacentral:rRNA from 1 species
GUAGGUGGCAAGCGUUGUCCGGAAUUAUUGGGCGUAAAGCGCGCGCAGGCGGUUCUUUAAGUCUGAUGUGAAAGCCCACGGCUCAACCGUGGAGGGUCAUUGGAAACUGGAGAACUUGAGUACAGAAGAGGAAAGCGGAAUUCCACGUGUAGCGGUGAAAUGCGUAGAGAUGUGGAGGAAUACCAGUGGCGAAGGCGGCUUUCUGGUCUGUAACUGACGCUGAGGCGCGAAAGCGUGGGGAGCAAACAGGAUUAGAUACCCUGGUAGUCCACGCCGUAAACGAUGAGUGCUAAGUGUUAGGGGGGUUUCCGCCCCCCUUAGUGCUGCAGCUGACGCAUUAAGCACUCCGCCCUGGGAGUACGGCCGCAAGGCUG